rnacentral:snRNA from 1 species
AUGGUUUCUCGGGCUUGUGGUUAAGAUCAAGUGUAGUAAAUGUCCCCUAUCUGAGGACAAUAGAUUAAAUGGAUUUUUGGAGGAGGAAGUCGGAAUAGGGGCUUGCUCUGUCUGCUCCAUGCAUCAACCUAGUAUUGCAGUACUUCCAGGAAUAGUACACCCUCC